GACGAACGCUGGCGGCGUGCCUAAUACAUGCAAGUCGAACGCAGUGGGGACGGGUGAGUAACACGUGGGUAACCUCCCAUCAGAGGGGAUAACACUUGGAAACAGGUGCUAUACGCUAGCGAUGGAUGGGACCGCGGGUCAUUAGCUAGUUGGGGAGGUAACGGCCCACCAAGGCCACGAUGCAUAGCCGACCUGAGAGGGUGAUCGGCCACACUGGGACUGAGACACGGCCCAGACUCCUACGGGAGGCAGCAGUAGGGAAUCUUCGGCAAUGGACGAAAGUCUGACCGAGCAACGCCGCGUGAGUGAAGAAGGUUUUCGGAUCGUAAAACUCUGUUGUUAGAGAAGCGGUAUCUAACCAGAAAGCCACGGCUAACUACGUGCCAGCAGCCGCGGUAAUAC
rnacentral:rRNA from 1 species